AUCCAGUUGAAAAGUCCCAAAUAGGACGAAACUCACGUCCUGGAU
rfam:Schistosoma mattheei strain Denwood, Zambia genome assembly, scaffold: SMTD_scaffold0000104